rnacentral:rRNA from 1 species
GCUUAUGGCAAAUGAACACCCCUCAUCUCGUCUGAUCUCAGAGGCUAAGGAGCGUCGGGUCUGUUUGGGAGGCCUUGGAUGGGAGACUGGGAAUGCCAGAUGCUGUAAUCU